UCUUCGCUAGUAUAUCGGUUAGUAUAAUCGCCUCUCAAGAGAGAGUACCUCGGCUUCUCUGAAGUUGAAGUGAUCGCGAUAGAGCAGGGUUCGACUCCCUGGCGGAGAA